UGUUAUGUAUAUUUUUUUUUCAAAUAUUUUUAUCUCAAUGCUAUAAUGUGAUGGUAUUCAUUUUAUCUGACUUAGGAAGAGAAAGGACAGUCCAAGAGGUCGGUUUAAAAACCCAAGAAGCUCCGAAGGUAAAUCAAAAUGGGCAACUCCCAGUGAAACAUAUAUCCACAGGAAUGUAAACCAUCUGAAUACCAGUUAGUCCCAUUGGUAUCUUCUUCAAGAUCUGAACAUGGUUGUAUGAGAACCAAAAAGGGUGAGCUGAACAAUUGAAGUAUUGAUGUAUCAAAUAAGAAAUGAAAGCUCUGCGUCACGCUUAAAACUUAACAUUUGACAAUCAAAAUUUGGUUUACCAUCAAAGGAAUUUACAAAUUUGAUAUUUUUUAAUUAUUCUUUUGAAUAAGAUCGUUAGUUUGUUACCAUGUCCAUAAAACCACAAUAUAAUCUUGAUCUUCUACCAAGAAUGCAGUCUCUUUGUUGUUGGUUGAAAAAUAUAAAUGUAUUCAUUGUACCGGAUAAAUAUAUCAUUUUUCGUCUUAGAUGCAAUUUUUAAAAGAUAAAAUAUUUCAUAUUAAAGGGUACCUUCAGUCAAUGUUUUAGCAAUAAAUGAAAUAGAUCUAUUUAUAUAGAAAGCACAUAGCUGAACAGCUGAUUCAGCACAAUAUGAGCAAUUGUCUCUUCUCAGGGAAACAAGAGCGUUAAAUUUGAAAGGGUCGCUUAUCAGUUGUUUUAUAUGCUUCGUCACAAAUGUUUCAAUCAGUAUCAUUGCUUAAAAAUCAAAUAAAACUGAAGUGUUAAAAGAAAAUGACGAUAGCAACAGAGACUGUCUGCAUUUGGACACAUUUGAAACGACCCACACUGAUAACGGCCGAAACAGACGAGCAUCAGCAGGCAUGUUCAUGAAUCUUUCCUAAGAUACAAUGUAUGACCUAUGUGUCUUAUAUUUCACAUCAAGUCAUAGACUGAAUCAAAUAGUAUUUGAGAGACUUGUGCAGGGAUGAAUCAAUAAACACUUUGCCAGAGAAAAAUUAUACGUGUCGGUAACACGAUAGACCUUAAACCGGUAAUUUUAAUUUGUAUACAUUAAAAAAAACAACCCAAAAACAUUUACUUAGAUAUAUUUCAGUGUCCAAUAACAAUUAUGUUUAAAAAAACAACCCAGAAAUCGAAAUAACCACUAUUUUGUGUAAAGAAAUUAUGUAUCGGGACAGUUUUGGCUUACAAGGAAAUAAAUAUAUGAAUAUUUUUGCAUUCUUCGAGUGUAAUUUAACAUUUGAUGCUCUUGUCAUUCAAAUAAUACAUAAGCACGCGCUCCCAUAUAUAGAAUUUAAUGUUACAUAUAAAAAACACAACCAAUUUCCCUUUGAUAAUCUGUAAUAUAUACAAUACACGUAUAGAAAAUACAUGAAUACAGUUUAUUCAACACUGUGAUUUUUUCAAAGAUUAUUUCUCAGAAUGAAGCAAUAAAAAUUAAAAAUGAUCACGCAUGACUGAAAAUUGAUUUUUGACAUUUUAGCCAAGGAUAUUCGAAUAAUGUUUUUGCUAAUGCUAGUAUUCAAAACAAUAAAUGUAACUAACUUAGUGUAGAUAUUAAAAAUAAGUGAAUAAUUUUUGUUAUUUUAGAACCUUAUUUAGGACAGUCUUAGGAAAAGGUACAUGCAUGUAAGUGACGUCCUAAAGUUAAGACAAAGUUAUGGCGUUUCGUAAAUUCAGGAGAGAUUCGAGAGACAGACAUAAGACAAAGACGUAUCCUAAGAUGUACUUAGGACACACCAUAGUCCUAAGAUAGUUUCGUGAACAUGUCUUCCGGUUACUCUCUCUCUGAGGUUGGACAUUUUAAUUACUUUCAGCUAAACCUAAAAUUCUACAAACUUUUAUUUUUUUCUGAGACUGUUUUAAAUGUUCAAAUGAAUAUUCAAAUUAAAUAAAUUGACUGGAGGUACCCUUUUAAAGACUUUUAAAGAAAUAAUCUCUAAGAAAUUAUAAGCACUUUUGUUUUUUUAUAUCAAUAAACUUUUUUUUAAAUCGAUUAAAUAUGUAAAUACUAAUUAAAACCAAUUUUUACAAAUUUCUGACCAGUUAUAUCCUGCAUACUAUGGAAUCAUUUAAAUAAAUGAGGAUAUUUUUCGAGGAAUAUCUGGUUUAAAAGGACAAUUGUACAUGUAAUUUCAAUGAUUAACUUCAUAAGACUUCGUUUCAGAUUUUAACACGGGGUGAGUACGUAGUCUCCUCCAAUCCAAGAACAUUUAGUUCCCUUGAUUUUUACUUAUGACAAAAAAUAUGAAUGUCAAUGUACAUUUUUUUUACAGUUUUAAUGCCGAUUAUUUAAUUUAUCUUGUAUUUUACUUUCAACUUUACUCAUCGCAGAGGUCCAAUACCAUAACCAUUUGCGAUGGGUAAAACAAAGUUGAUUCAACUGUUGGCUGUUUGUUUGUUUGUUCAAUGUUUUUCCGAUCAGCAUCCACAGUACUGUGAUUUCAUAAUUUGGUCGGGAUUUGAGUUUUACGUAAAGAAUAUCCACAAAAUCUUUAAACAUUGAACCAUCACAAACUCUUAUGCUUCCAAAAUUUAUUAAUGUUUAGUAUUUUCAUUUGUUGAGGAAAUUUUUCUGCCGAUUCUUUUUUCUGCUUUCAGCUUUGCUCAUCUCAGAGGUCCAAAACCUAGACCCUUCGCCAUGGUACAAUGCAAAAUUGAUUCAUCUGCUGGUUGUUUUCGUGUCAAUUUCUUUUCCUAUAAGCAUCCAUAGUGCUGUGAUUUUAGUUUCCAAAAUAGUUUGAAUUUAUACCAGCACCGACAGUCUUUUGAUUUACAAGAUGGAGUCUGCUUUAACUUAUUGAACUAACAGAGAUGUGUCUCGAUCUGUUAAUUGAUUAAUUCUUAUUGGAGCCCAAAAAAUCAACAUGUAAUUUAUUUCAAUUUAUGUGCUUGAAUAGUUACCACCAUUUAUUACCAAGAAUGUGUUCGCACGACAAAAUUUAGUCCGUCCGGGUGAAUGUCAAAGUUCUGAUUUGCCGCAGACUUUAAUGAUACGUUUGAAGCGAUGUGGGUUUUUUGACAAAAUGUUGUUAGUACUUUGUAAAUAUGUUGUUGUGCUUUAUCUGUUAUUUUACGGUGAAUGCUAUUGAAAAUAUUCAUGAGAAAUAUUUGUAAAGUAGUUCCCACGAAAUAAAAUUCGCUAUCAAGGAAUAAAAAUUCGUUUCAAAUAAAUAAAUUUGGUGGCAACGAUUUCAAAUUGGUUUUUACAAAAUCAGAUUUAAUUUGUGACAAUAAAAUAAUUUUUUUUACUAAAUGAAGCCUUGAACACAAAAUAAAAUUUGUUGCCACCAAAUAAAAUUGGUAGCAGCGAAAUAAAAUACUUUCCCAAGAAACAAAUUACAUUACCACCAAAUAAAAUUCGUUCCCUCGAAAUAAAAUCCGUGGUCGCGAAUUUUAUUUGUUAAAACUGAAAUAUAACUGAAGAUGUUUAACCGAUUGUUAAGUGUUAUAUUUUUCAAUUUCUUCUAUGGCACUUUUUUUUUUAAAAUCAGUUAAUGUAACAAAUAUAAGAGUUCGAUAUUUAUUUUAAGAAAAGGUGUGUCCCUUCUAAAUAAAUAUGGAAACGAAAUUUAUUUCGCAGCAUUGAUUAUUGGGGGGGGGUACUCCCUAGAAUCGAGUUUUAUUACGAGGCAAAGAAUAUUUAUUUCGUGGGAUAGAAUUACAUGGCCACAAAUUAAUAACAUAUCUCUAUAGCAUUGUUAUAUAGCAACCACUGUCGUUUACAAUGUACUCUGUCCAAUGUUAAGUGAACUUUUCUGAUCAAAUUUUUCCCUUGUCUAUCGUCGUCGUAAACUUUUCACAUUUUCAUCUUCUCUAAAUUACUGAGCCAAUUUAAACCCAUUUCGGCACAAAGCUAAUUGGUUGAAGGGAAUUUACACAUGUUCACCCUCUUUAGAGGGAAGAUAUUUUUGGAUUCAAAAUUUGUUGGAAUUUUCAAAAAUCUUCUUAAAAAUCUUUUGGUCUGAUAAGCUGAAACUUGUGUUGAAGCAUCCUCAGUUUCUGUAGAUUCUAGUUUUUACAUAGAAAUAUAUGGAGAAA